rfam:Populus trichocarpa scaffold_59_contig_14, whole genome shotgun sequence.
UCUAGAACUCGAGAUAUGGGAUGAACACUGAACAAUGUUUGAGUUGUAGGACAGAUUCCGACUUCUCUUUUGUUACUACAAUGUGAACUUGAAAAUGACCGUUUUGAAUCUUGGACUCUUCAUGAAAGUUUUAGGCCUAUGUCUUAGCUUUCCAUC